UACAGAGGGUGCAAGCGUUGUUCGGAAUUAUUGGGCGUAAAGCGCGUGUAGGCGGCUUAGCAAGUCGGGCGUGAAAGCCCUCGGCUCAACCGAGGAAGUGCACCCGAAACUGCUGAGCUUGAGUGCCGGAGAGGAUGGCGGGAAUACCCCAAGUAGAGGUGAAAUUCGUAGAUAGUGGGGUGGAACACCGGUGGCGAAGGCGGCCAUCUGGACGGUAACGUGACGCUGAGACGCG
rnacentral:rRNA from 1 species